GCGGUCGCCGAGAUCCCAGAGUCGCUUGAGCUUCGAGAUUGUGAAAAACCGGAGUCCGGCGGGUCUCUGGAACGCUCGCUGCCUCUCUUAAGGACCAGCUUUGGCCAUCCAGGACUUGUAGGCCGAAGCUGGGUCUUUUUUGCUUUUAAAAAAAAUAAUAAAUAAAACGAAAGUUUUACGGGGUGCAUCGGGGCACACGCUCUGGGUGGCUCCAGAGGGUGACUUUAAACCACGUGAGGUCCGGACACGGCCAGAGCUCUGUCCAAUGACUCGCGACUUGGGGUGUUCAAAAAAUGCUCAUUGCAUGAUCGUUAGUGAAAACAGGUUAGCUGGAAAAUGGAAAGAGGAGGUCUCGGAAAAUGCGAGAUGUUCCGAUACCUUCUGGCUUAAGCGCAAAUUUAAAAAAUGCAGCGAGAAGCGAAUGUGCAGCGGCGACGGGGACACUUCCGCACUAGGGGCUCAGGGUAGAGUCUCUUCGGAGCCCUGGACGUUGUGCAGCUCCUGGACUCUGGCCGUUUGCGAGGAGGGUGGCGGCGCGAAGGUCGCAGGGCCAGAAAAGACCGCGCUUUGUUACUAGAUCCCCUACUCUUAACGCGCCCACGGACCGGUACUGUACGUCGUUAUCCUAUAUCCAGUCAGUUCUCAGUAAACAUUAGUGGAAGGCAUCAGACAAAUGCAUUUACAAGAGACGAAGCAUGCGCUAAAAACAAAGAUUUUAUUAAACUGUAUUUCACAAAUGCUCUACUUUGCUGUCCUUUCCCGCCUAAAUAAAACUCUUCAUUCAAACGGA